rnacentral:rRNA from 1 species
GCGAACGGGUGAGUAAUACAUCGGAACAUAUCCAGUAGCGGGGGAUAACCUGUCGAAAGAUAGGCUAAUACCGCAUACGAUCUACGGAUGAAAGCGGGGGACCUUCGGGCCUCGCGCGAUUGGAGCGGCCGAUGUUAGAUUAGGAAGUUGGUGAGGUAAAGGCUCACCAAGCCUACGAUCUAUAGCUGGUCUGAGAGGACGACCAGCCACACUGGGACUGAGACACGGCCCAGACUCC